UCCUUAGUAUUCAUAAAAGAGUAGGCGAGAAUUACCUGGAUGACGUACUAAUUCUCGCAAGAUUCGGACGUGCGUCUACUUAAAGUGCGUCCGAAUAUGCCUACUUACCUACUAUAUAGUAGGAGAAAAGAGUAUGUGAAGAAAGUAGUAUGUCCGAAAUCUCAGUAUUCAUAAAAGAGUAGGCGAGAAAUCCCCGGAUGUCCUACUGCUUCAGUCCAGAUUCUGAAGUGCUCAUCGAUGGACACUUUUCAAUCCCAGAAGCCCACGGGAGAGGAUACGUCAUCAUCGAACAGGGCGGAGAACAGCGACGAGGGUGUUUACAAAUGGACAGAUGAGACACACGUGUGUUUAUCCAGUGCAGAGUGACUGAUGAAGGAAUGCUGCCAUCAAAGGCUUUGAAGCUUUUGUGGUGGAGCAGGACCUGCAAGGAAA